rnacentral:rRNA from 1 species
CCUACGGGUGGCUGCAGUGGGGAAUAUUGCACAAUGGGGGAAACCCUGAUGCAGCAACGCCGCGUGAGUGAUGACGGCCUUCGGGUUGUAAAGCUCUGUCUUCAGGGACGAUAAUGACGGUACCUGAGGAGGAAGCCACGGCUAACUACGUGCCAGCCGCCGCGGUAAUACGUAGGUGGCGAGCGUUGUCCGGCUUUACUGGGCGUGGGGGGCGCGUAGGCGGACUUUUAAGUGAGAUGUGAAAUACUCGGGCUCAGCUUGGGUGCUGCAUGUCAAACUGUAAGUCUAGAGUGCAGGAGAGGAGAAUGGGAUGCCUAGGGUAGCGGUGAAAUGCGGAGAGAUUAGGAAGAACAGCAGGGGCGGAGGCGAUUCUCUGGACUGUAGCUGACGCUGAGGCUCGAAAGCGUGGGGAGCAAACAGGAUUAGAUACCCUGGUAGUG